rnacentral:rRNA from 1 species
AGAGCGAACGCUGGCGGCAGGCCUAACACAUGCAAGUCGAGCGCCCGUAGCAAUACGGGAGCGGCAGACGGGAUAGUAACACGUGGGAACGCGCCCUUCGGUUCGGAAUAACUCAGGGAAACUUGAGCUAAUACCGGAUACGCCCUUACGGGGAAAGAUUUAUUGCCGAAGGAACGGCCCGCGUCCGAUUAGCUAGUUGGUGAGGUAAUGGCUCACCAAGGCGACGAUCGGUAGCUGGUCUGAGAGGAUGACCAGCAUCACUGGGACUGAGACACGGCCCAGACUCCUACGGGAGGCAGCAGUGGGGAAUAUUGGACAAUGGGCGCAAGCCUGAUCCAGCCAUGCCGCGUGGAUGAUGAAGGCCUUAGGGUUGUAAAGUCCGUUUUAACGGGGAAGAUAAUGACGGUACCGUAGAAUAAGCCCGGCUAACUUCGCGCCAGCAGCCGC